rnacentral:lncRNA from 1 species
GUCGGCUGCCGGGGGGUUGGCCGGGGUGUCAUUGGCUCUGGGAAGCGGCAGCAGAGGCAGGGACCACUCGGGGUCUGGUGUCGGCACAGCCAUGGCGGGCGCGUUGGUGCGGAAAGCGGCGGACUAUGUCCGAAGCAAGGAUUUCCGGGACUACCUCAUGAGUACGGCUCUGUUUAUAGCCCUGGGUUCAUGCAUGAUAAAGUAGACAGCAACACCACCAUACAGUGCAGAGGAGUGGCAAGAGAGUAAACGGAAAAGGAGAUGAAAAUAGACCAAGUGGAGAAAGGCCUGGUCAAAAAAGGAGGAAAAGGAAGAUCACUAUGGAAUAAUAGAGAGUUGAAAAAUGAAGUGACACCCAAUAACAGGACGGGUAAGAAAAGAAGUAAGUAGGUAAGGGAGAGAUAGAUACUCUCCCUUACAAAAGUCUGGGGAAUAAGGAAAAAAGAAAACUGGCCAUAUUGCAUCUAAAUGUAAGAAAUUAAGGGUCAUUGUUAAUAGAAUUCUGCAGGAGUGUACUUCUCUCCAACUUGUCAUUUUCUUUUUUUUUUUUUUUUUUUCCCUGAGACGGAGUCUCGCUCUGUCACCCAGGCUGGAGUGCAGUGGUGCAAUCUUGGCUCACUGCAACCUUCACCUCCCGGGUUCAAGCAGUUCUCUGCCUCAGCCUCCCAAGUAGCUGGGAUUACAGUCACCUGCCACCACGCUGGCUAAUUUUUAUAUUUUUAGUAGAGACAGGGUUUUACCAUGUUGGCCAGGCUAGUCUUAAACUCCUGACCUCGUGAUCCACCCGCCUCAGCCUCCGAAAGUGCUGGGAUUACAGGCGUGAGCCGCUGCACCCGACCCAACUUGUCAUUUUCAAAGAAAUAUUUCCUCCAAAGCCUUGCUGUCCAAUUUGAGAGCCACUAGUCACCUCGUCUAAAUGUAAGAAAUUAAGUGAAAGUUGCAGUAGUGAGUAUCUUAGAUAACAUGCAGUCUGAAUGCAAGAUAACUAAUUAGCCAGCCCAGAAUCUCAAGAUUCUUUAAACCAACUGUGCCUAAUUUACAGAGUUUAUAACUCACAUGUUAAACCCUGAAAUACUUAUGGUGAUGGCUAUGUGGGAACUUUGACCUUUUGUAGUUAUCUAAAUGACCUUGUGGCUUUCAUGUUAAAUAAACAUUUUUAAAUAUUCUAUUAUGCCAAAUCUAAUUCCCAUUUAUUUUUCUUAUAUUUCCCUUGGUUUACCACUUUUUAGGGAAUCUUUGGAUUUUAACCCCUCGUCAAUAGUAGAAGCAAAGUCUGAAUUUAACCUAAACAUUAUGAUAGGCAGAAGUCAAGCAAAGACUGUUUUUACUCUUUAGUGUUAGGAUAACUAAAAGGGGUGUUUAGCCAACAAGAUGUGGUUCCUUUCAGAUUUGAAAAUAUUAUUUCCAAAUUCUAAAUUAAUGAAACAAUUUUUCAUCUUUAAUGAACAAAAGCCACAAGCCUUAUUUUAUUUCAGCCUCUAAAAUUAAAUUGAUUGUGGCUGCUGUCAAACACAGACGACUUCACUUUGGUAUCCUUGGAUGAGUGUAGUUGUGGAAUGAAAAACUAUUGGUUCAUUUCUUUAAUAUUAAUAUAAGUUUUUGCUAUUAUGUCAAAAGUACUUUCCAAUCUUAAUUUCUUAGUGUCUGGGGUCCUGGGCAUUGAUUUCCAAGUUAUUUUAUCUUAGAAUAGCUCAUAUGAGCUGAAAAACAAUUUAUUCUCUUAUUAAGCUUCUUUCUUCAGAAAAGUACCCAAUUUAGGGUCUGCAUUUUAAGAAUUAUUAACAAAUAUCUUCAUAAAAAUUUGGGAAAAGGAGUGUGGAUAGAUUUAAACAUAAAAAUAUGGAGAAUAGUUCUAACAGGGUUUGAAUUAUAGCAACAAUGGAUUGUGUAAGAAGUGAAUCUUAUUUUUAUUUUUAAAUGUUCUAAAUAGGACAAUCAGAGAUGACUUGGUUGUAGUGUGGAAACCAGUAGGGACCUUGGGAAGCUGCCAAACCCUUUCUAGCUCUGGGCUCAGCUGUAAGAACUGCUGAUUCCUACAGGAACACUUGGACAAUCCAAUACCUAAAUGUUAACCAUCAAUUAACCCAGUAAACCUGCAAGAUGGAAACGAAGAUUUGUUCUCACGAGUUUCACGUGAUUAUUUAAAGUAAGGGAAAUUUCAGCUGUUUAUAGUUCUGUCUUAACUUUUUCCUCUCUUCAUUCUUUUCCUCUCAUUUUUUGUAGCACUUCUGGGGCCCAGUAGCCAACUGGGGUCUUCCCAUUGCUGCCAUCAAUGAUAUGAAAAAGUCUCCAGAGAUUAUCAGUGGGCGGAUGACAUUUGCCCUCUGUUGCUAUUCUUUGACAUUCAUGAGAUUUGCCUACAAGGUACAGCCUCGGAACUGGCUUCUGUUUGCAUGCCACGCAACAAAUGAAGUAGCCCAGCUCAUCCAGGGAGGGCGGCUUAUCAAACACGAGAUGACUAAAACGGCAUCUGCAUAACAAUGGAAAAGGAAGAACAAGGUCUUGAAGGGACAGCAUUGCCAGCUGCUGCUGAGUCACAGAUUUCAUUAUAAAUAGCCUCCCUAAGGAAAAUACACUGAAUGCUAUUUUUACUAACCAUUCUAUUUUUAUAGAAAUAGCUGAGAGUUUCUAAACCAACUCUCUGCUGCCUUACAAGUAUUAAAUAUUUUACUUCUUU